GCCCCCAUAUUUGACAAUAUGGCUUUCUCA
rnacentral:tRNA from 1 species